GACGAACGCUGGCGGCGUGCUUAACACAUGCAAGUCGAACGGUAAGGCCCUUCGGGGUACACGAGUGGCGAACGGGUGAGUAACACGUGGGUGAUCUGCCCUGCACUUCGGGAUAAGCCUGGGAAACUGGGUCUAAUACCGGAUAGGACUCCUGGCUUCAUGGUUGGGGGUGGAAAGCUUUUGCGGUGUGGGAUGGGCCCGCGGCCUAUCAGCUUGUUGGUGGGGUAAUGGCCUACCAAGGCGACGACGGGUAGCCAGCCUGAGAGGGUAACCGGUCACACUGGGACUGAGAUACGGCCCAGACUCCUACGGGAGGCAGCAGUGGGGAAUAUUGCACAAUGGGCGCAAGCCUGAUGCAGCGACGCCGCGUGAGGGAUGACGGCCUUCGGGUUGUAAACCUCUUUCAGCUAUGACGAAGCGCAAGUGACGGUAGUAGCAGAAGAAGGACCGGCCAACUACGUGCCAGCCGCCGCGGUAA
rnacentral:rRNA from 1 species